rnacentral:rRNA from 1 species
UACGUAGGGUGCGAGCGUUAAUCGGAAUUACUGGGCGUAAAGCGUGCGCAGGCGGCGCCGCAAGUCAGGCGUGAAAUCCCCGAGCUUAACUUGGGAAUGGCGCUUGAAACUACGGUGCUGGAGUGUGGCAGAGGGAGGUGGAAUUCCACGUGUAGCGGUGAAAUGCGUAGAGAUGUGGAGGAACACCGAUGGCGAAGGCAGCCUCCUGGGCCAACACUGACGCUCAUGCGCGAAAGCGUGGGGAGCAAACAGG